rnacentral:rRNA from 1 species
AUUGAACGCUGGCGGCAGGCUUAACACAUGCGAGUCGAGCGGGGGAAGGUAGCUUGCUACCGGACCUAGCGGCGGACGGGUGAGUAAUGCUUAGGAAUCUGCCUAUUAGUGGGGGACAACAACUCGAAAGGGAUGCUAAUACCGCAUACGUCCUACGGGAGAAAGCAGGGGAUCUUCGGACCUUGCGCUAAUAGAUGAGCCUAAGUCGGAUUAGCUAGUUGGUGGGGUAAAGGCCUACCAAGGCGACGAUCUGUAGCGGGUCUGAGAGGAUGAUCCGCCACACUGGGACUGAGACACGGCCCAGACUCCUACGGGAGGCAGCAGUGGGGAAUAUUGGACAAUGGGGGGAACCCUGAUCCAGCCAUGCCGCGUGUGUGGAGAAGGCCUUAUGGUUGUAAAGCACUUUAAGCGAGGAGGAGGCUACUUUAGUUAAUACCUAGAGAUAGUGGACGUUACUCGCAGAAUAAGCACCGGCUAACUCUGUGCCAGCCGCCGCAGUAA